rnacentral:rRNA from 1 species
GUCCACGCCGUAAACGGUGGGCACUAGGUGUGGGACUCAUUCCACGAGUUCCGUGCCGUAGCUAACGCAUUAAGUGCCCCGCCUGGGGAGUACGGCCGCAAGGCUAAAACUCAAAGGAAUUGACGGGGGCCCGCACAAGCGGCGGAGCAUGCGGAUUAAUUCGAUGCAACGCGAAGAACCUUACCUAGGUUUGACAUAUACCGGAAAGCUGCAUAGAUGUAGCCCCCGCAAGGUCGGUAUACAGGUGGUGCAUGGCUGUCGU